UUAUUUUUUAAUAAUUAAUUUUUAUAUAAUUUUUAUAUAAUUAAUAUUUUAGUUAUUUAUAGGAAUAAAUAUUAUAAUAUAAUAAUAUUUUAAUAAUGAUAAAAUAAGUAUUUUAUAUAUAUAAAAUAUAGUAACUCGGCAAAUAUUAUUUUCGCCUGUUUAACAAAAACAUGGUCUUUUGUUUAUAUAAAAGAUCUAACCUGCCCUAUGAUUUAUUUAAAUGGCUGCAGUAUUUUGACUGUACAAAGGUAGCAUAAUCAUUUGUCUUUUAAUUGAAGGCUUGUAUGAAUGGUUGGAUGAAAAAUAUGCUUUCUUUAUUUUAUAUAAAAAAUUUAAUUUUCUAGUCAAAAAGCUAGGAUUUUUUUAUAGGACGAGAAGACCCUAUAGAACUUUAUUUUCUUUUUUUAUAAACUUUAUAGAUAAAUAUAAGUUUAUAUAUUUUUGUUAAUUUUGUUGGGGUGAUUGAAAAAAUUUUUUAACUUUUUCUAUUUUUUACAUUUAUAUAUGUUUUUUUGAUCCUUUAUUAUGGAAUAAAAGAUUAAGUUACCUUAGGGAUAACAGCGUUAUUUUUUUGGAGAGUUCUUAUCGAUAAAAAAGUUUGCGACCUCGAUGUUGG
rnacentral:rRNA from 1 species